GAUGUACGCUGGCGGCGUGCCUAAUACAUGCAAGUCGAGCGAACGGACGAGAAGCUUGCUUUUCUGAUGUUAGCGGCGGACGGGUGAGUAACACGUGGAUAACCUACCUAUAAGACUGUGAUAACUUCGGGAAACCGGAGCUAAUACCGGAUAAUAUUUUGAACCGCAUGGUUCAAAAGUGAAAGACGGUCUUGCUGUCACUUAUAGAUGGAUCCGCGCUGCAUUAGCUAGUUGGUAAGGUAACGGCUUACCAAGGCAACGAUGCAUAGCCGACCUGAGAGGGUGAUCGGCCACACUGGAACUGAGAGACGGUCCAGACUCCUACGGGAGGCAGCGAUAGGGAAUCUUCCGCAAAAGGCGAAAGCCUGACGGAGUAACGACGCGUGGAUAAUGAAGGUCUUAGGAUCGUAAAACUCUGUUAUUAGGGAAGAACAUAUGUGUAAGUAACUGUGCACAUCUUGACGGUACCAACCCAGAAAGCCACGGCUAACUACGUG
rnacentral:rRNA from 1 species